rnacentral:rRNA from 1 species
GAUGAACGCUGGCGGCGUGCCUAAUACAUGCAAGUCGAGCGAACGGACGAGAAGCUUGCUUCUCUGAUGUUAGCGGCGGACGGGUGAGUAACACGUGGAUAACCUACCUAUAAGAGUGGGAUCACCUCGGGAAACCGGAGCUAAUACCGGAUGAUAUUCUGCACCGCAUGGUUCAAUAGUGAAAGACGGUCUUGCUGUCACUUAUAGAUGGAUCCGCGCUGCAUUAGCUAGUUGGUAAGGUAACGGCUUACCAAGGCAACGAUGCAUAACCGACGUGCGAGGGUGAUAGGCCACACGGGAGCUGAGACACGGUCAAGACUCCUGCGGGAGGGAGCAGAAGGGUAUCGUCCGCAAUGGGGGAAAGCAUGACGGAGCAACGGGGCGUGAGUGAUGACGGUCUUCGGAGCGUAAAACUCGGUUAUGGGGGAAGAACAUAUGUGUAAGGAACUGUGCAGAGCUUGACGGUAACUAAUCAGAAAGCCACGGCUAACUACGUG